rnacentral:snRNA from 1 species
GUACAUAUGUCAUGCCAAAAAAAAAAAAAAAAAAAAAAAAAAAAUGAUUCUUUCGCCUUUUACUAAAGAAUUCCGUGGAGAGGAGCAGUUCAAUGAGUCUUGAACAUUUUUCGAUAUCCGACUUUGGUCGGUUU